rnacentral:sRNA from 1 species
UAGAUCGUUUUCGCGGCUCGUGCUGCCGCCU